GACGAACGCUGGCGGCGUGCUUAACACAUGCAAGUCAAACGGUAAGGCUCCAGCUUGCUGGGGUACACGAGUGGCGAACGGGUGAGUAACACGUGGGUGACCUGCCCUGCACUUCGGGAUAAGCCUGGGAAACUGGGUCUAAUACCGGAUAGGACCGCACCGUGAGGGUGUGGUGGAAAGUUUUUUCGGUGUGGGAUGGGCCCGCGGCCUAUCAGCUUGUUGGUGGGGUAAUGGCCUACCAAGGCGGCGACGGGUAGCCGGCCUGAGGGGGUGGACGGCCACAUUGGGACUGAGACACGGCCCAGACUCCUACGGGAGGCAGCAGUGGGGAAUAUUGCACAAUGGGCGGAAGCCUGAUGCAGCGACGCCGCGUGGGGGAUGACGGCCUUCGGGUUGUAAACUCCUUUCACCAUCGACGAAGGGUUUCUGACGGUAGAUGGAGAAGAAGCACCGGCUAACUACGUG
rnacentral:rRNA from 1 species